rnacentral:tRNA from 1 species
GGCGACGUAGCCAAGCGGCAAGGCAGGGGCCUGCAAAGCCUCGAUUCCCGGGUUCGAAUCCCGGCGUCGCCUCAA